rnacentral:rRNA from 1 species
UCGGGAAUUUUGCUCAAUGGACGAAAGUCUGAAGCAGCAACGCCGCGUGAGGGAUGAAGGCCUUCGGGUUGUAAACCUCUUUUAUCAGGGACGAUAAUGACGGUACCUGAUGAAUAAGUCACGGCUAACUACGUGCCAGCAGCCGCGGUAAUACGUAGGUGACUAGCGUUGUCCGGAUUUACUGGGCGUAAAGAGCGCGCAGGCGGUCGAUUUAGUCGAGUGUGAAAGCCCCCGGCUCAACUGGGGAGGGUCACUCGAUACUGAUCGACUCGAAGGCGGGAGAGGGAAGCGGAAUUCCCGGUGUAGUGGUGAAAUGCGUAGAUAUCGGGAGGAACACCAGUGGCGAAGGCGGCUUCCUGGCCCGUUCUUGACGCUGAGGCGCGAAAGCUAGGGGAGCAAACGGGAUUAGAUACCCCCGUAGUCC